rnacentral:rRNA from 1 species
UUGCUUCCACUGGGAAGAUAGUGGCGAACGGGUGAGUAACACGUGGGUAACCUGCCCAUAAGAGGGGGAUAACAUCCGGAAACGGGUGCUAAUACCGCAUAGUUUUCUUGAUCGCAUGAUUGAGAAAGGAAAGACGGCCUUUGUGCUGUCGCUUAUGGAUGGACCCGCGGCGUAUUAGUUAGUUGGUGAGGUAAUGGCUCACCAAGACGAUGAUACGUAGCCGACCUGAGAGGGUGAUCGGCCACAUUGGGACUGAGACACGGCCCAAACUCCUACGGGAGGCAGCAGUAGGGAAUCUUCCGCAAUGGACGAAAGUCUGACGGAGCAACGCCGCGUGAGUGAAGAAGGUUUUCGGAUCGUAAAACUCUGUUGUCAGAGAAGAACAAGUCGGAGAGUAACUGCUCCGGCCUUGACGGUAUCUGACCAGAAAGCCACGGCUAACUACGUGCCAGCAGCCGCGGUAAUACGUAGGUGGCAAGCGUUGUCCGGAUUUAUUGGGCGUAAAGCGAGCGCAGGCGGUUCCUUAAGUCUGAUGUGAAAGCCCACGGCUC